AGGAAUGGAAAACCAAACACUGCGUGGUCUCGCUUCGUCCAUUGGCCUCUGUUUCCAGCAGACCUCUGCUCCCUGGAAGUGCCCGAGAUGUCCACACUGCGGGAUGUCAGAAGCACUGCACAUAUAGUUUUAUAGAUCUUGGAAACGAAGUCCAAAAGGGAACGUCAGAUGCCUUCUUAAUUCUUUUUUUGAUGGAUUAUAUGUUGAGAUGGUAUUUUAGAUACACUGAGUUAAAUAAAACUUAUUUUAAAAAUA